GUAGCCUCGGGGCGAUCCAAACUAUCUUGGAAAUUCAACAGAGAAGAUUAGCACUCUCCCUGCGUAAGGCUGACGUCAAUCUUCGAGAUAUGUAGCUUUUUUGC
rnacentral:snRNA from 1 species